UCCAGACUUCUUCUGUCAUGUUCUUCAUCAAUCAAAAUCCCUAACCAAAACCAAACACCGGCAACUCUUUCUCAUGCAUCAUCAAAUAAUUGUUUUCAUUAAAAGACCCCUGAAGACUUGUCAAACAUGCAUGCUUUGCCGUGUCAUUUGACUUCAGCCCUAUAGUGUAACAAAGAUCAUAAACACGUUGUGACAUGAGGGAACCCAUAAUAGAAAACAAACCAACUGUUCCUUAGCAUGGAUUGAGAACUAAUCAACCAGGCAUGUUGUGUUUUGUGAAGUCAUGGGACAUAACCCUCAGUAACACCUGAGAUGGGUUUGAAUGAUACUCACAAUUAUGACACGAAGGGUAGAUGAGGGCCUUUUAAAAGCGGUUUAAUUUCAGUAAAUGUUUAAUUACUUUAAUGUUAGUGACCCAAAUCUUUUUUGGACUUCCAAAUUACAAUUCCAAGACAGCCUUUAUUCAAAAUGAUUGGCUCAAGUAUGCUGUGUUGUUUAACGGUAUGACCACUUUCUACAAGCAAUCCUGGGGCCUCUGUCAGGGGAACGGGCCCCUAGCGGCCAUUUAUAUCAACAACGCCUCCAGUGGGCUCUGGUCUGGCUCUGGGCGUUCUGGUGCAUGUUCUCCAUCUGGACCAGUGAUGCUGCAUGCGGUCGUAGAACCGGCAUGAGUCCAUCUGCAUGUCACCCAAUGAAACGCUCCGGAAUAUGUGGUGAAAUCCCUCCCAAACUGACUUGUAUCCACUAAUGUGCAAGUUCUCUCCUGCUGAAGGAUCCGGACUUCUGAUUUUGAAGCAUGCACCCUCCAGCUCUUGCCUAGUGAGUCAACAGUGUUGAGGACUUGGGGGAUUGACCUGCGUUUGGACCCCCCAGGGUAUUUGACGGGCAGCGAACUGCCCGAGCAGAACGCCCCAGUGACGGCACUCCUCCCUGGGCCCGAGCUCACCGGCCUGCUGGCCCCUGAGGGGGUCGACGGUCUCGCACCGCUACCCGAAACCGUGGCGACCACUAAAGGGGACAUCGGCCAGGAGUUGGUGCCAGAGAGGGCGGUCAUCCAGCACCAGCUACCGACACCCGGCGAGGGCUCUCUGGUUGAGAUCGCUAGCAAACCUGAGAAGAGUGCCGGGGCUUCCAUCAGUGUGGAGGGGUCUAAAGCUGCCAAACCAGACUGUGGACUCGCCACAGCAGGGGGCCAGUGGAUGAAGAUCCCCAGACCUGAUUAUGGAGCAGAACUGGGGCCCUCUGGUACCAACCAGAAAGGUUAUGGCGCAGGAGCUGCUUUCCUGAACAAAUUUGGAGGAAAACCAAACGGUAAUCUAUUUGAAUCUAUAUUUAAAUCUUGCACCUACAUAGCUUAACCCAUAGAGGCCACUGAUGCUAGAUAACCUGCUGAUGGAGGUGUUCUGAUUGGACAGGUCG
rnacentral:lncRNA from 1 species